AGAGUUUGAUCAUGGCUCAGAUUGAACGCUGGCGGCAGGCCUAACACAUGCAAGUCGAACGGUAACAGGAAACAGCUUGCUGUUUCGCUGACGAGUGGCGGACGGGUGAGUAAUGUCUGGGAAACUGCCUGAUGGAGGGGGAUAACUACUGGAAACGGUAGCUAAUACCGCAUAACGUCGCAAGACCAAAGAGGGGGACCUUCGGGCCUCUUGCCAUCAGAUGUGCCCAGAUGGGAUUAGCUAGUAGGUGGGGUAACGGCUCACCUAGGCGACGAUCCCUAGCUGGUCUGAGAGGAUGACCAGCCACACUGGAACUGAGACACGGUCCAGACUCCUACGGGAGGCAGCAGUGGGGAAUAUUGCACAAUGGGCGCAAGCCUGAUGCAGCCAUGCCGCGUGUAUGAAGAAGGCCUUCGGGUUGUAAAGUACUUUCAGCGGGGAGGAAGGGAGUAAAGUUAAUACCUUUGCUCAUUGACGUUACCCGCAGAAGAAGCACCGGCUAACUCCGUGCCAGCAGCCGCGGUAAUACGGAGGGUGCAAGCGUUAAUCGGAAUUACUGGGCGUAAAGCGCACGCAGGCGGUUUGUUAAGUCAGAUGUGAAAUCCCCGGGCUCAACCUGGGAACUGCAUCUGAUACUGGCAAGCUUGAGUCUCGUAGAGGGGGGUAGAAUUCCAGGUGUAGCGGUGAAAUGCGUAGAGAUCUGGAGGAAUACCGGUGGCGAAGGCGGCCCCCUGGACGAAGACUGACGCUCAGGUGCGAAAGCGUGGGGAGCAAACAGGAUUAGAUACCCUGGUAGUCCACGCCGUAAACGAUGUCGACUUGGAGGUUGUGCCCUUGAGGCGUGGCUUCCGGAGCUAACGCGUUAAGUCGACCGCCUGGGGAGUACGGCCGCAAGGUUAAAACUCAAAUGAAUUGACGGGGGCCCGCACAAGCGGUGGAGCAUGUGGUUUAAUUCGAUGCAACGCGAAGAACCUUACCUGGUCUUGACAUCCACGGAAGUUUUCAGAGAUGAGAAUGUGCCUUCGGGAACCGUGAGACAGGUGCUGCAUGGCUGUCGUCAGCUCGUGUUGUGAAAUGUUGGGUUAAGUCCCGCAACGAGCGCAACCCUUAUCCUUUGUUGCCAGCGGUCCGGCCGGGAACUCAAAGGAGACUGCCAGUGAUAAACUGGAGGAAGGUGGGGAUGACGUCAAGUCAUCAUGGCCCUUACGACCAGGGCUACACACGUGCUACAAUGGCGCAUACAAAGAGAAGCGACCUCGCGAGAGCAAGCGGACCUCAUAAAGUGCGUCGUAGUCCGGAUUGGUGUCUGCAACUCGACUCCAUGAAGUCGGAAUCGCUAGUAAUCGUGGAUCAGAAUGCCACGGUGAAUACGUUCCCGGGCCUUGUACACACCGCCCGUCACACCAUGGGAGUGGGUUGCAAAAGAAGUAGGUAGCUUAACCUUCGGGAGGGCGCUUACCACUUUGUGAUUCAUGACUGGGGUGAAGUCGUAACAAGGUAACCGUAGGGGAACCUGCGGUUG
rnacentral:rRNA from 1 species